GAUGAUCUAUAUUGUUUUGUUGCUUUACUUAAUGUUAUACCAUGCACUAUUCAUUAGGGUUGAACUUUUUAGCUUUUCAGCUUGCUUUGCACUGACUUUUCAUGAAACAAGCAUGUUCAGAAAAGUUUGAACACCAAAAGUUCUCAAGUAUACUUUUUUGUUUAAUAUAUUUAUGUUUCAAUGGCAGACAUUGCACAUUGCUGUUAUUUUGAUAUACUUGCAGUAUUACAUUAACUAUUUGUCACUUCAUAGUUUUCAUGAAACUUAAAUUUUUUUUUCGAAAACGCGCAGGAGAGCUGCGCCCCUUUUUAUAUAUUAAGAAGAUAGGAAAAAGGUCUAAAAUAGACCAAAUAACAGCAGGCCUCCUCACGGGGGCCAGAAAAUAGCAUACAAAAAAGAACUGUGCAUCCACUCUAACAGUCACAACCAUGGUUUUUAAAGCGGUAAGGCGCUCCAAGGCGUUGGACCACCGCCUAGACGCCUAGGCGGCGCCUAGGCGACGCCUAGGCGAGGUAGGCGGGCAAGGCGCCUAGGCGUCAGACCACCGCCCGGACGCCUAGGCGUCGCCUAGGCGACGCCUAGGCGACGCCUUAAAAACAGUGGUCACAACUAGUCAAACAGUAAAUAAAUGUGCAUUUACUUUGGAUCUAGAAACUUUUACAUCAUGACCAACCAUUCCUUAUUCUAGAACUUGUGAGUUUUUUUCUUGCACCAUGCAAAGAACUGUGUGUCCUUUCAUUAAGAAAGAAAAAGAGGUACCCCUCUAGGGGAUCAGAAGCCCCAAGAGUAAAACAAUAUUAAUAGAUUUAGUUGUGUGAGCUAAGGCCCUUGUACUUAGUCACCCUCAUGGGCUUAGGGUUAGGUGUGAUAUAUAGGCUAGCGUCAUUUGCCGCCGUCCCAUUUAGAUGAGAUCUGGACUCGAGUCCCCUAGGAUAGGGACUCUCCUAUCCUGUAUAUAUAUGUACAUGUACCCCUACUCUAAAUCCAUCUACAAUUGCCCUACUUUCAUGGUGUCAUUGUUGAAGUGUAUAAGUGGAUCGCCUACCUUCUCCUAAUAGCUUAAGCUUUUGGGUUGUACUGUUUAGUGCAUCCACUCUAACAGUCACCAUAGUUCUUAAGGCGGUAAGGCGAGACAAGGCGUUGGGCCACCGCCUGGACGCCUAGGCGACGCCUAGGCGCUUACUAAGGCGAGCAAGGCGACGCCUUACCAAUUAAACAAAAGACAGAACAACAACAUAUAUGAGGAAGAAAAAGAAAAAGGGAGAAAGAAAAAAAAGAAGGAAGGGGUAGAAGGAGAUGGCCCAGCCCACCAGGCAGGCAGGCAGCCCAUAUAUCCUCCGGUUAGGGUUGCUGAGUUGCUCCCAUCUCACUGCCGCCGCUCGUCCACAACCAUGCAUCGCUGCUCCUGCUCCCCCAAGCUCGGCGGCGCUCCCCUGAGUCUCAGCGGCGGCGCUUCCCCGAGCUCUGCACCGCCGCUCCGCCGAGCUCUGCACCGCCGCUCCCCCGAGCUCUGCGCCGCCGCUCGCCCGAGCUCGGCACUCCCUGCGCCGCCGCUCCCCCGAGCUCGGCACUCCCUGCGCCGCCGCUCCCCCGAGCUCGGCACUCCCUGCGCCGCCGCUCCCUCGAUCCCGCUCCCCAAAGUCGUCUCUGCUAGGCUUCUUCCCCCUCCCCUCUUGCCGACUCUUGGCUAGGCGACGGGGACGCCUAGACUUUUUGGCCGCCUGGACGCCUAGGCGUCGCCUAGGCGACGCCUAGGCGACGCCUUUGAAACCAUGACAGUCACAAGUUUGGGAUCUUCCCUGAUUUCUCUUCCACCCUCCUUCCAGCCGCCUCUAGCGCUGCUCCCCAGCGCCACUGCUUUCCCUUGCUGUUGUGGUGCGCACCUCCUCCCUAGUCUACGCACCGCCGUCGCCUCCUGCGCACGUGCACUGCUGCCGUGACAGGCACGGAGAAAUCUUCCGUUGAGCUUGAAGCCAUUGUCGUUGAGGCAGCGUGCCAUGCCAGGCGAAGCUCACGAUGCUGUUAUCGUUGUGGCCAACUAGGCUGAUCUGGAUGCUAUCACUGCGAUCAAGGAGUGCGACAUUGCCAUUGUUCGUGCGAACGACGCUAUCGCGCGGCAGGCUGCCUUCGGCGACUAGACUGUUGGUGAUGGCCCCAAGGAUGCCGACAACUUCAAUGACUCCUUCCCCUGAUCAGGGCGCCUUCCUCAACCUCCAUGCCCAGUCGGUUGCUGUCCAGCACAUCCGCUCGCUCAUAAUCGUUGUCCUCUACAUCGAUUCCGACAACUACACCCACUGUCGUGAGUAGAUGCUGCUCACUCUUGGCAAGUACUCCCUCAACGACCACAUCCUCUCUGCCUCAACGCCACCCUCCCCUAACUAGACUUGCAUGGAUUGCGUGGUCAAGUCGUGGAUCUACGACACUCUCCACCGACCUCGUCGACACAGUGAUGGAGCACAGUUGCAACGCCUUCUCGGCCUGGCUUGCCAUUGAAUCCCAUUUCCUUGGCAAACGGGAGCACCGCGCGCUCCUUGACGCGCGGUUCCGGACCUUUGUCCAGGGCGACCUUUCCAUCACCGACUACUGUCGUCGUCUCAAGGGCAUGGCUGAUGCCCUCGGUGACCUCGUUCAUCCGGUCACUGAUCGCACCCUCGUCCUUAACGUCAUCCGCGGCCUAGAAGAAGAUCAUUCAUGGCUAAGAUAACAAUGGCACCUUUACAGCUCCUUGCUGCUCCUAUCCUCCCCAAGCGGUCAAGGGGUGCCACAAAACAUGGUACUGCGCUACGACGGAGCCGACAUGUUGCAGGGGCAGGGGUGGAAUUUAACAUGCAGGAUCUGGAGAACAGAGCCACAAAACAAGUAAUGCGGACUCUGAGAGUCAUCACAGAGAAUGCAAGCAUCAACCAGCAAGCUGUUAAGGAUUAUGAGAAUCUUUUUCAGCAUCCCUUAACUCAAAGUCAUGUUGAAGCGUUAGCGGCUCUCUUUGGAUGGGAGACUCCGGGGAAUCUCUUCCCGUAGUGUGUUUUUCUUUCUGGGUUGUAAUUUAUAAUUGUUGUAAUGGAUCCUAGCAAAAUUAUAUGUUGGAAUGUGAGAGGUUUAAAUUCAGCUGAUCGUCAAAAUUCAGUCCGGAAUCUAGUUCUGUCCUCUAAAGCUGAUGUGGUCUGUCUCCAGGAAACUAAAAUGACUGUCAUUUCUACAAGAACCAUUCUUGCAGCCUUGGGUUCGGAUUUCUGCCAGUUCUCCUUUCUACCAUCUUGUGGUGCUAGUGGUGGUGUGCUGGUUGCUUGGAAGCGACAUCUGGGAGUGACUGGGUUGUCUAGGAUUGACAGAUACAGCAUUUCAAUCCAAUUCUGCAAUGCGCAUAAUCGCUGCUGGUGGUUAACUUGUGUUUAUGGUCCUCAAAGUAACAGUGAUAAGAUGUUGUUUCUUCAAGAACUGAGAGACGUCAGGGCUGCUUGCACUGGACCCUGGUUGAUUGCUGGUGACUUCAAUCUCAUCUACAGGGCUUCAGAUAAAAAUAAUUCAAAUAUUAACAGAGCUAUGAUGGGGAGAUUUAGAAAGUUGGUUGAGGACUUGAGUCUCAAUGAGGUUCCACUUUUUGGGCGUAAAUACACGUGGUCAAAUCAGCAAGACAGUCCUGUUCUUGUUAAGCUUGACAGGGUCCUCUGUUCAGUGGAGUGGGAAGACAUUUUUCCAAAUGUCCUUCUUCAAAGUGCUGCCUCUGAAGGCUCCGACCAUUGCCCCCUGCUGCUUGGCAUUAGAGAUAAUAAAAUGGGUAAAAGACGUUUCUGUUUUGAAGCUUUUUGGCCCAAAUUGGAAGGAUUCCAGGAUGUCAUCCAGGAGGUUUGGGAUUCUGUGGCAGCUGUAAACUGCCCUUUCAUGACUCUGAAUUUGAAACUAAAAGCCACAGCUAGGAAGCUGCAAUCUUGGAGUGGGAAGCAUGUGGGACAUGUGAGGACUCAGUUGGCUUUGGCAAAGGAAAUUCUGCAUAGACUAGAAAUAGCGCAGGACUGCAGAGCUUUAUCCUUGGCUGAAAUCUGGUUAAGUAAUUUGCUGAAAAAGCACUCCCUGUUUUUAUCUUCACUUCAACGGACCAUUGCUAGAUCGAGAUCGAGGAUCUCUUGGCUUAAAGAGGGGGAUGCUAAUACCAAACUCUUUCAUAUGCACUCUCGACAUCGAAAAAGGAGGAAUUUUGUUGCACAACUGGUGAAUGGAGACCAGAUUCUCACUAGUCAUGAUGAUAAAGCAGUUUUGGUGGACAAUUUCUACGCCAGACUAAUUGGUGAAUGUGGGGAUAGGGAGCAGACUAUUAAUCUGGAGGCGUUGCACAUGCCAACUUUCAAUCUUGCACACCUUGAUGAGCCUGUUACAGAGCUUGAACUUUGGAAUACAAUUAAGAGUUUACCUAAUGACAAGGCCCCAGGUCCCGAUGGUUUCACUGGGCGCUUCUAUAAAUCUUGUUGGAACAUUAUCAAGAUGGAUCUUAUGGCUGUAGUUGCUGCGGUUUGGAACAGGAAGUUUGACAAUUUUUGCUUGCUGAACUCGGCCUACAUUACUUUAAUCCCAAAGCAUGAUGGGGCUGUGCAUGUCAAAGACUUUAGGCCAAUCAGUUUGGUGCAUAGUGCUGCAAAGUUGAUCACAAAAUUAUUGGCCAAUCGGUUAAGUCAAAAGCUGAAUGAUAUGGUGUCUCCAAUCCAGAGUGCCUUCAUUAAGGGACGUUUCAUUCAGGAUAAUUUUAUGUUGGUCCAACAAACGGCUAGACUUUUCCAUCAACAGAAAAGGCCACGUCUUCUCCUCAAGCUUGAUAUUACUAAAGCUUUUGAUUCGGUUUCUUGGCCUUUCCUCAUCGAAGUUAUGAAGUAUCUUGGCUUUGGACAAAUUUGGAGGGACAUCAUUUGUGGGCUUCUUUCCUCCUCUAGCACUCAGGUGCUUUUGAAUGGCAUUCCAGGAGGACAUAUUGAAUAUAGAAGAGGGCUCCGACAAGGGGAUCCUCUCUCCCCCAUGCUCUUUAUUCUAGUUAUGGAUGUUCUUGGUCUACUGUUUUGUAAAGCUGAACACGCUGGUCUGCUCUUGGAUCUUUCCCCCAGAAGACCUCUGCAUCGGGUUUCUAUGUAUGCAGAUGAUGUGGCACUCUUCUUACACCCUUCGGCAGCGGAUAUUGCUAUAACUCUAGAUAUUUUACAUCUAUUUGGGGAAGCUUCAGGUCUCCGCAACAACGAACAAAAGUCUAAUGUUUAUCCCAUUCAGUGUGGGGGUGUGGAGCUGGAAAUGGUUCAGGAUCUUCUCCCUUGUGGCAUCUCGACCUUUCCGUGUAAAUACCUGGGGCUGCCUCUGUCCCUGAAAAAUCUCACCAAGGAUCAGGUGCAGCCUAUUGUGGAUAGAAUUGCUGAUCAGCUGCCAGGCUGGAAAGCAGAUUUGAUGACAAGAGCAGGCCGUAAAGUGCAAGUUCAGCAUGUGCUUACCGGAAUGCUUAUUUAUCUUGCUAUGGCAGUAAAUAUUCCGUCUUGGGCUAUUAAGGCCAUUGAUAAAAUUAGAAGAAGUUUCCUUUGGAGAGGGCGCAAGGAGGCCAGAGGUGGUCACUGCCUGGUGGCCUGGGGCAGAGUCUGUAGACCCCUACAGCUGGGCGGUCUUGGCAUUUCUAGUCUUAAAGAACUUAUCUGGGCCCUGCGCAUGAGAUGGCUUUGGCUCCAAAAGACUGAGCCUAACCGACCUUGGUGCAGCCUUCCUAUCCAGGUUCCGGAUAAAGCAAGGGCUUUCUUCUCGAUGGUGUUGACUUCAAAGGUUGGUAAUGGGGCUAAUACUUUGUUCUGGACUGAUAAAUGGAUUCAUGGGCAGAAAAUUGCAGAUUUGGUUCCUAGAUUAUUUGAUAUCAUUCCGAAAAAAAUCACUAACAGAAGGACGGUUCAGGAAGCAUUGACAGAUAGAAGAUGGAUUGCUGAUAUCACAGGAUCACUCUCGGUGGGAGUAUUAUUGGAUUAUCUUCAUCUUUGGAAUUUAAUUUCAGAUUUUGAGCUGCUGCCAGAUAUAGAAGAUAAACAUACUUUUAGUAUUGCUGCAAAUGGGACUUAUUCUGCUAAGGCUGCAUAUGAUGGGUUGUUCAUCGGGGCUGUGCAUUUCGGUCACUAUGAAAGAGUUUGGAAAACUUGGGCCCCCUCUAAAUGCCACUUCUUCCUCUGGUUAUCGGUGCUAAAUAAAUGCUGGACAACAGAUAGGUUGGCAAAGAGAGGACUUGAUCAUCCGGAGAAGUGUCCGCUUUGUGACCAAGAGUCUGAAUCUUUGGAUCAUAUUUUGGUUUCUUGUGUUUUUGCGAGAGAAUUCUGGUUCCGGCUGAAGGUUGAUGUGCAUUUUCAGACUACAAAAUCUGGCUCCUACACCUAGUACGGUGUCUUUUACGGGUUGGUGGGAGAUGAUAGACAAUGGCUCCGGAGAUAUGAUUAUGAAGGGUGUCAACUCCCUUAUUGCCUUGGGAGCCUGGAUUAUUUGGAAUCAUCGGAAUCAAAUUGUCUUUGAUGGAAUCUCCCCUAGUGUUUCUGCAGCUCUUUGUCAGGCAAGGGAGGAACAACAGUUGUGGGAAAUGGCAGGAGCUAAGGGUCUCUCCUUUCUUGCCGCAACCAUCAGGGGCACCUAGCUGCCUGGUUUAUCGCUGAUGGGCUGGUUUUGUUUUUCAGGAUCUGUUUGUUCUUUUUUUGUUUUUUUCUCUUCUUUUUUCUUUGGUUUUUUUAUCCCCUCCGGGGAGGUCUUUUGUACUUUGGUCUAUUUUGGACCCUCUUUUCCUUCUACUUAAUAUAAUGAUGUGCAGUUCUCCUGCGCUUUCGAGAAAAAAAAACGUCAUCCGCGGCCUCAACGAAUGCUUUGCCAACAUUGGUCUUCACCUUUGACGUGGGCGCCUUUCCCCACCUUUUUCGAUGCUUGCUCUGAGCUCCUUCUUGAAGUGCUCAGGCCAUCAGGGCACCUCCAUUGACCCCUACUGCCCUUGCGGCCUCUAUCAUUCCGCCUGCUCCCGCUAGUGCGCCCUUGGUCUUCGGGGCCUGACCUCUGGCUUCCUCUCGUAGUCUUGUGUGCUUUGUGGAGCGUCGGGGGGCUCAGGCCUAGGGCCUUUAGGUCCCGUAGGUCAUGAGUGGGACUCAGGCCUAGGACUCGACUCGUCGGUCGUGGGUGGGAGGCGGACUGGCUCCUUCCUACACCGCGGCUCGGUGCUGGGCGCAGUUAAUGUGGCGUGCGUAGUAUUGAUGGUGAGAGCAGCCCUAGGGCCAGAUGUGGAAUCCACUCGAGUGGCUCUCUGGCGGUUCGUCUGAUCUCCUUGCCAGGCUUCGCCUCGUCCGACCUCUGGCGCGGUGCAUAGGGGUCAUCUGGGUGCAGAUUCACAUAGGCGAGCUUCUCCCUAUCUUAUCUCUCACUCGUGGUCUCGUGGGGGCCCGGGGAUCCGAUCCCCGACACUCGGGAUAUGGAUCGCCGACGUGGGGAAAGGAGGCGCUGGGGUGGCAGCUACACCCGCGGGAGGCUAGGGAGGCGUAGGCCGAGCGCCGAUGGCCGGGUGUAGGGGGAUGCCGCCGACCGCAACCGAGAAGGGGAGGUCUGUCACCGGAGGAGGAGGUGCGGCAGCGGCCGUAAUCGCAAUCGUCCGCGCGAUGGCUGCAGCGGUGGUUGGUGCAGUGGACGUUCGUGCCGCUUGCGUGGGGAGGGAGGCGAGCACAUGAAAAGGAGAAAGGGAGGGAGGCAGUCGUGGACGCCGAGAAGGUGCGGGCGGACGCGGUGACGAUCGCUCUGGGAGAUGCAGGGGAAGGAGAGGGAGGGGUUGCCGGAGGACUGCUCCAUGACGGUGGCGAUGGCCGGGGGUGCGCCGACGGCUAGAGUGCCUGGUGGUUAGGGAAUGUAGAGGCUUGAUACCAUGUUGGAAUAGAAAACCCUAACCAGAGUUGAUAGUGCAUUAAUAUAAUAGAGUUAGGUGGGUCUGAGGCCCAUUACAAUAGAGGCAUUACAAUAGAGCAUACAGUUACGCUAACAGUAUCAAAUGCCUUUGAAAUCUCUAGCUUCAAAAGGAUGUAUGGUUCUUUACUUUUAUGUAGGGUCUGAGCAAGCUGCUGCACAAGUAAGAAAUUGUUGUGAAUAUUCCUCCUAACAAAGGCGCUCUGGUUGUUAGACCAGCUUAGGCAGCAGGGUGCCAAGCGAUAAGCAAAAAUCUUGGUUACCAACUUUGCAAAGCUUGAGUUUUAGGACUUGAGCUUUACAAGAUGAGUUUACAGCUUGGACUUGAUCAGAUCCCAUCUGAGGAAAAGGAUCUCCAGUUUUGGCACUUGAAUUAUCACCAUUGUCGAAUAGCCACCCUAAAAUCAAAGUAUUUAAUUUCUUCUGUGACUGCUAAAAGGUUGAAAUAACUUUUCUAAAAGAAAAUUGCUUGUCCAUGGGAGACCCCUGGGCAUUUUUUAGUUUAUAAGUUAGCAAAUUACAUCCUGAUUGGUGAUUGGCUAGGAAAACUAGCUAAAUCAGUUUCCAGGGAGGUAACCACAAAUUGCUGAGUCCUGGAUUUGAGCACAGGUGGCCUUCCUCUCAACUGGGAAGUACUUUCUAAUUUCCUUUUCAGAUGUAGAUGUAAUAUUUCCAAGAAGUACAACCCUUUUCCUUUUUUCCUUGCACCAAACCUUUUGUAACUUUGUUCCCAGAUACCGGGUUCUCGGUCUUGUUAGAAGUAUAUUACUAAACAAUCUAUCUGCCUACACUGCAUUGUUCAGCAGAUGCUGGAUUAGAUAAAAUGUGAUUUUAACAAGUACUCCCUAUGUUCCAGUUUAUUAGGUGGUAGUGCAUUUUUGAGAAAGGGCAGAUUGUUAGGCGGCAUACAUAGCAAGGCAUUGCAUUAUAAAUUCCUGUGGAAGAAACACAGCCGUUUUAUCCGACCCGAUCCAACAAGUGAAUGCAAUGCACCAGAUCAGUGUGGCACCUGGCGUGAAUUAAAUCUUGCUCACACUCUGGUGUGUGUACUCUUAGCGCCUUUAAAUUGGGUGUGGAGGGAGUGUAUAUGGGUGCAAAAAUAACAUAGCUUUGUACAAGUAAACAAACAUGGUUGGACAUCACUUUUACCUAAGAUUUUUAUUGAGGACUAACUGUCUCUGCUUCUUACAUCCUAGACUGAAAAUUUUCCAUUAGAUGUCCACAUUGCCUUGGAAUGUAUUGAUUGUGCUAUCUCUUUCAGCAUCAACAUGGGAAAUAAGGACUUUGUAUACAUCAGGAUCAUCGAGUCCAAAAUGUGUUGUUACUCUUAUGUUGGAGAUUGCUCCAAGUUUUUGGGGCAGAUGGAAGAGAAGGCACUCAAAUUUUGACAAAAGCAUCCCUUUUGCUUUGCUCAGCCAAGUAGCAGUUCUUGCUUUGCUGUUUUAUUAUGGCCAGGUAUAAGAGAGUACUUCGCAGCCAAUCCAGCCUUGACAUCUGAGCUGCCUUCAACAGUAGUGAAGUCAAAAGCAUCUGAAACUUUGAUCAUCCAGAGUGAACAUGAAGAUUCUGAACUUGGUGAUGAAUUUUAUGAUGCACUUACUAGAGGUGAAUCCUUCGAAGAUGGGGAUAGUGAUGAUGAUGAUGAUGCCACAACUCCAAAGGCUAGAAAAGUAAAGUUGAAGAAUGUGUCAUGGGCUAUUGCAGGCUUGGCUUUAAAGACAACUAAAGGUUGUUGGCGGUGAUCCACUUCUAGAGCUACUUGCGGUCGAUUGGUUCAAAGUUAAUGAACGCUUUGAUUCAGUUGCCUUACAUCCCAAAAGCCUUGUGCAAUCAGAAGCUGCAAAGAAACUUCCUUUCAUAUUGGUUAUAAAUUUGCAGGUGCCAGCGAAACCAAAUUAUAACUUGGUUAUGUACUACGCUGCAGAGAGACCAGUGAACAAAGAUUCUUUGUUGGGUAGAUUCAUUGAUGGAACUGAUGCAUACCGAGAUGCCAGAUUUAAACUUAUACCAAGCAUUGUUGAGGGUUAUUGGAUGGUUAAGCGUGCUGUAGGAACAAAAGCUUGCCUUCUGGGCAAAGCAGUAACGUGCAAUUAUCUUCGCCAGGAUAACUUUCUGGAGAUAGAUGUUGACAUCGGUUCAUCAUCCGUUGCCCGGAGCAUUAUUGGUCUAGUAUUGGGAUAUGUCACAAGCAUAGUUGUUGAUCUUGCUAUUCUUAUUGAGGCCAAGGAAGAGAAAGAGCUCCCCGAGUACAUUCUGGGCACUGUUCGUCUGAACCGUGUGAAUCCCGACAGUGCUGUAUCAAUCUAAUUACGUUUCUAGCCGAUCUAUGCAAAUUUACUCUUAUCCUCUUUUAUUCUGAGAGAAACAGCGUGGCAUUUUGAAAAUGUGAAAUAGCAUUACUAUUUGCUGAUCCCCAAUCGAGGGUAACAUAUGUAAAUUGGCAUGAGGCAUGACUACGUGACGCCUUUCGUAAAUAGAAUAAAUCAAUGGUUAUGUAAUAUUAAUAUCCCAUAUACGCGUGUCAUAAUCUAUGUGGCUUAAAAGUGGCAUCAAGUCAUCUA